rnacentral:rRNA from 1 species
CAGCAGCCGCGGGAAUACGGAGGGUGCGAGCGUUAAUCGGAAUAACUGGGCGUAAAGCGAGCGCAGGCGGUUUGAUAAGUCUGAAGUUAAAGGCUGUGGCUCAACCAUAGUUCGCUUUGGAAACUGUCAAACUUGAGUGCAGAAGAGGAAAGUGGAAUUCCAUGUGUAGCGGUGAAAUGCGCAGAGAUAUGGAGGAACACCAGUGGCGAAGGCGACUUUCUGGUCUGUAACUGACGCUGAUGUGCGAAAGCGUGGGGAUCAAACAGGAUUAGAUACCCCAGUAGUCCCUGUCUCUUAUACA